UACGGAGGGUGCGAGCGUUAAUCGGAAUAACUGGGCGUAAAGGGCACGCAGGCGGUUUGUUAAGUCAGAUGUGAAAUCCCCGGGCUCAACCUGGGAACUGCAUUCGAAACUGGUUGGCUAGAGUCUUGUAGAGGGGGGUAGAAUUCCAUGUGUAGCGGUGAAAUGCGUAGAGAUGUGGAGGAAUACCGGUGGCGAAGGCGGCCCCCUGGACAAAGACUGACGCUCAGGUGCGAAAGCGUGGGGAGCAAACAGG
rnacentral:rRNA from 1 species